rnacentral:RNase_P_RNA from 1 species
CCGGUAAGUCGGGUGAUUACUGGACGCAUAAGAAAUUGUGCGUCUGGAGGAAAGUCCGAACUCUUACCCCGCGUAGCUCGCAAGAGCGAAGUGGGGUUAAAAUGGUAGUGGGUAACGCCCGUCCGGCGCAAGCCGAGAGAUGCGAACAGAGACGAGUCCCCGCUUAGGCGGGGGGUGAAACGGUCCCGACGUUAAGUCGGGAUCCCGACCUCCGACGCAAGGUCGGAGCGUCGGGGCUAAAUUCUUACCUAAGAGCAAGAGCAAACCGGAGGUUUCGGGAUUCAUCUUGGAACUUUCGUUAAAAGUAGCUCGCAUGACCCCGAGAGUAAUUGAGGGGCUAGAUAGAUUAUCACCAUCCGCCGAUGAGGCGGAACAGAAUUCGGCUUACAGACUUGCCGGGACA